GGGUUCAAUCAUACCAGCACUAAUGUAACGGAUCCCAUCAGAACUCUACAGCUUAGCGUGCUUGGGUGAGAGUAGUACUAGGAUUGGUGAACUCCUGGGAAGUCCUUGUGUUGCACCCC
rnacentral:rRNA from 1 species